rnacentral:misc_RNA from 2 species
UAUCUGCAUGUAGACCAGGC